GUCAUGUUCCCCAUGUUCCAGGAGCUUGCACCACACGACCCAGGCGACAAGUGUGGUCACCACUACGCGAUCUGUCUUGACCUGAAGAACCAGCACUUUGAGGUGCUUGAUUCAAUGCGUUCGGCAGCCAAUGCAAAUCUUACUUCGCAUGCUGAAUUCUUCAUCAACAACGUCAAAGAGACAUGGAACCGUCACUAUGAAAACUCAAAGGCCCAGAUCAGUCAUUUCCCGAUUGAGUACGUGGCGACUACAAAACAAGGGAACACGACGGACUGUGGCUUUCACAUGUUGGAAUACCUUGCAAAGUGGGAAGGUAGACUUGUUCCCGCUGUCAAUGCUGCAACGGUCGUUGAGCUCCGGAAAUUGUACACAUGGAACUGGUUGACGAAUGAAGAUUUUAACAAGCGGUCCGGAGCACGCGAGUUCGUGGAGGAAGCUGUCAAG
rnacentral:rRNA from 1 species